rnacentral:rRNA from 1 species
GGGUAGUUUGACUGGGGCGGUCUCCUCCCAAAGAGUAACGGAGGAGCACGAAGGUUAGCUAAUCACGGUCGGACAUCGUGAGGUUAGUGCAAAGGCAUAAGCUAGCUUGACUGCGAGAGUGACGGCUCGAGCAGGUACGAAAGUAGGUCUUAGUGAUCCGGUGGUUCUGAAUGGAAGGGCCAUCGCUCAACGGAUAAAAGGUACUCCGGGGAUAACAGGCUGAUACCGCCCAAGAGUUCAUAUCGACGGCGGUGUUUGGCACCUCGAUGUCGGCUCAUCACAUCCUGGGGCUGAAGUAGGUCCCAAGGGUAUGGCUGUUCGCCAUUUAAAGUGGUACGCGAGCUGGGUUUAGAACGUCGUGAGACAGUUCGGUCCCUAUCUGCCGUGGGCGUUGGAAGAUUGAGAGGGGCUGCUCCUAGUACGAGAGGACCGGAGUGGACGAAUCACUGGUGUUCGGGUUGUCAUGCCAAUGGCAUUGCCCGGUAGCUAAAUUCGGAAGAGAUAACCGCUGAAAGCAUCUAAGCGGGAAACUUGCCUCGAGAUGAGUCUUCCCUGGGGCUUUAAGCCCCCUGAAGGAACGUUAAAGACUAUGACGUUGAUAGGCUGGGUGUGUAAGUGCAGCGAUGCAUUGAGCUAACCAGUACUAAUGAUCCGUGAGGCUUAACCUU